AGUGAACGCUGGCGGUAGGCCUAACACAUGCAAGUCGAACGGCAGCACAGUAAGAGCUUGCUCUUACGGGUGGCGAGUGGCGGACGGGUGAGGAAUACAUCGGAAUCUACUUUUUCGUGGGGGAUAACGUAGGGAAACUUACGCUAAUACCGCAUACGACCUACGGGUGAAAGCAGGGGAUCUUCGGACCUUGCGCGAUUGAAUGAGCCGAUGUCGGAUUAGCUAGUUGGCGGGGUAAAGGCCCACCAAGGCGACGAUCCGUAGCUGGUCUGAGAGGAUGAUCAGCCACACUGGAACUGGGACACGGUCCAGACUCCUACGGGAGGCAGCAGUGGGGAAUAUUGGACAAUGGGCGCAAGCCUGAUCCAGCCAUACCGCGUGGGUGAAGAAGGCCUUCGGGUUGUAAAGCCCUUUUGUUGGGAAAGAAAAGCAGCAGGUUAAUACCCCGCUGUUCUGACGGUACCAAAAGAAUAAGCACCGGCUAACUUCGUG
rnacentral:rRNA from 1 species